rnacentral:rRNA from 1 species
CAGCAGCCGCGGGAAUACGUAGGGCGCAAGCGUUAUCCGGAAUUAUUGGGCGUAAAGAGCUCGUAGGCGGUUUGUCGCGUCUGCCGUGAAAGUCCGGGGCUCAACCCCGGAUCUGCGGUGGGUACGGGCAGACUAGAGUGAUGUAGGGGAGACUGGAAUUCCUGGUGUAGCGGUGAAAUGCGCAGAUAUCAGGAGGAACACCGAUGGCGAAGGCAGGUCUCUGGGCAUUAACUGACGCUGAGGAGCGAAAGCAUGGGGAGCGAACAGGAUUAGAUACCCGGGUAGUCCCUGUCUCUUAUAC